rnacentral:rRNA from 1 species
AUGCGCCUGCUCGUCGGUGCAGGUAUCCUCUCUUUGCUCACGUUCUUGAACACUCGACCGUCGGUCACGGCAGCGCUGCCGCCGCCGGUGAGGGUAGGCCUGGUGGUGGAUCUGACGAGCGAUGUGGGGAGGAAGAGCCUCACCUGCUUGUGCAUGGCCCUUGACGACUUCUACCAGAAGCACCCGGACUACGCCACGCGGGUGGAGCUGCGCCUCAACGAUUCCCACGGAGACCUCGUCACGUCCGCACACGCUUCCGAGGAGCUCAUGGACAAGAAUGGCCAGCUGCAAGCCAUCAUCUCGCCUCAGACAUCACCAGAAGCCGCCGAGCUAAUCACCGGCACAGCGGAGCACAGCAACAUCCCAAUCCUUUCUUCCUCCGCCACGUCGCCGGCAUCGAGCUCAUCAUCGCGGUCGCGUUUCUUCGUAAGCACCGCACCCAACAUCAGCUCCCAGGCGGCUCCGAUCGCCUCCAUCUUCAAGGUGUUCGCGUGGAGUGCCGCCGUCCUUCUUCACGAGGACUCGCCCUACGGCGUCGGCAUCCUUUCGGCGCUGGUCCAUGCGUUCCAGGGGUCACCCGGCCUCACGGAUAGCGUAGCCGUGCCCGGCGACGCGACGGACAGCCGCCUCGACGCGGCGCUCCUCGCCCUCAAGACCAUGCCGACGAAGGUUUACGUCGUGCACAUGCCCCCCGCUUUGGCCGCGCGCCUCUUCCGCCGGGCCGGAGUCGCCGGCAUGAUGUCCGAGGGGUAUGUGUGGAUUGCCACCGCCGGCGUCGGCAACGUGGCAGACAGCCUCCCAAACCCCGGCGACAUCGAUUACAUGCAAGGGGUUGUGAGCCUGCGGCCUUACGUGCAGGCAACGGACCGGGUCAGGAGCUUCUGGAGACGGUUCAAGAUGAGGUUUCAGCAGGAGAACCCAGGUGUCGAGCAGGAUGAGCCGGUGACGCUGCUCUGGCUGUACGACACGGCAUGGGCUGCCGCCGCAGCAGCUGAGGCCUCCUUCCGAACGGCACAGCCAACGGCACUCAUCGAUGCUCUGCUCGUCACCAAGUUCGACGGACUGGCCGGAAGGUUCGGGCUGGUGGACGGGCAGAUUCAGGUGUCAGUGUACGAGAUCGUGAAUAUCAUCGGCAAUGGCGCAAGGACGGUCGGAUUCUGGACGCCGGAGUUGGGGAUCUCGACGAGCUUGCACCCCAAAGUCGAAAAUACUGCAUCUACGGACUCUGCAUCGAAGGAGCUGAAGGUGAUCCUCUGGCCAGGCGAGACGGCAGCUAUCCCGAUCGGGUGGAAUUUCGCGUCACGCAGGCCAGGGGGGCUUCGCGUCGCCGUCCCUGUCAAGGGAGGGUUGGGCCAAUUCGUGAAAAUUUCCAGUGAUCCGGCCAUCGCCGGGGACAGAGUGUCGGGCUACUGCAUAGACGUUUUCAAGGCGGUCAUGACAAGAUUGGGCUAUCCAGUCGACCACCUUUACGUGCUAGCUGACGGCAUCAAGAUAUACGAUGCACUUGUGAACAUGGUGCACGAUAAGAAGUUUGAUGUAGUGGUCGGAGACGUGACGAUCUCAUCGAGCAGGAUGAAGUUGGUUUCCUUCACGAUGCCGUUCACAGAAACGGGAUGGUCGAUGAUCAUGGCAGAAAAGGGCGGCAGUGGCAGCAUGUGGAUAUUUACGAGUCCCAUGACGUUGGAGCUCUGGCUCACCAUCCUUGCAUUCUUCUUCUUCACUGGCUUCGUUGUGUGGGCUAUCGAGCAUCGGAUUAACCCUAGGUUUGGUGGCACGCCGCAGAAGCAGUUGGGCGUCCUCUUUUACUUUGCCUUCUCAACCAUGGUCUUCUCGCACAAGGAGAAGCUUGAGAGCAAUCUGUCAAAGCUCGUGGUGAUCAUGUGGGUGUUUGUUGUGCUCAUCCUCACAACAAGCUACACCGCGAACCUAACGUCGGUCUUGACGAUCCAACAACUCCAGCCGGCGAUAAGUGAAUGGACUGACAGGGACUAUGUGGGGGUUCAAGAGAAUUCCUUCAUCGAGGACAUAUUGAGGGAGAUGGGUUUUGACGAGGCGAGGUUCAGGAGGUACUCCUCAAUAGAUGAAUACGCUGAUGCCCUCAAUAGGGGGUCUGACAAUGGAGGCGUCACGGCUAUCUUUGAUGAGGUUCCCUACCUCAGGCUCUUCCUGUCACGAUAUUGUCGUGGCUACUCCAUGGUUGGUCCGACCAACAAGAGCGGGGGCUUUGGAUUUAUGUUCCCCAAGGGGUCCCCACUGGUGGGGGACAUGUCGCGCGCCAUCCUGGAGCUGGCGGAAGAUGGCGUGCUUACGCGCAUCGAGAACAAGUGGUUUAGCCACCCAGGGUCGUGUGUGGGCAACAACGGUGGCUCUAACGCUAGGCUCGGCCUGUGGAGAUUUCGCGGCCUAUUCCUCAUCAACGGCGUCGUCUCGUGCCUCAUGCUCCUGAUCCACCUCGCCAGGUUCGUCUACCAGGAGCGCGCGCGUGGCCAGGUAAAGGCCAACACGGCGGGAGUGCUGCCAUGGUUGUGCGCGUGGCUUCGGCGCUAUUGCGCCUUUGAGGGGCAGCGUGGCGGAGAGCCAGUUAGCGAUGGUCGGGCAGCGGUGGAACUGAAUCACAUGCAGGAUUCGGCCGCCGAAGAAGCAGCCCAACAGGAAGGAGCCAUGGGAGACUCUUACUCUACUCAUGUGGAUGCCACGGAUUUCUGA